ensembl:lncRNA
AGGGCGGAACCGGCCUCAUUCUGUGCGUUUCUCUCCCUCCCUUUAGCCCAGUGCCGUACAGCAAUCUCCCAUCACCACCCCCCAUCCCCUACCCCACUUUGCCUUUUUUCUCUCUUAUAAAAAAAAACCCAAAACCAUCAAGUGGAUUAAAUUUUUUUAAUGGAUAGUUCGUGAACAGAGCCAUGCCUGUGAGAGCCGAAGGACCCAGAUGGGUUUGGUUUUCCAGCUGUAAUUUUAACCCUGGAUCAGAUGGUGUGAACUCAUUUCUGAGAUUUUUGAGAACCCAGGAAGAGACACGAAUAAGCAACCAUGAUUUGGGCGUGGCUCCAUGUGCUGCUUGACGGCUCCCCGUCUGCCCUCUGCUGGCCAGUUCAGGUUGUUCACUGUCUCCUCCUUCAAGCUCCUUAAACCCCAAAGCCACGUCUAUCCGAUUGAAAUUGUACAACCGGCUUGUGGCACAGAACCUGCUUAGAAGCAAGGAAUAAAUGUGUGUUGCGCAGACGGAUUAAAUGAAAGAGCAUUCCCUUGGCCCGAGUCCAUGACAUCCUGGACUCUUCUUCUCUUUAGCAGGUGGCCUGGCUUGCUUUUUCCCCUGUGGACUCACACUCAGUAGUUGCUGCUGUCAGGGUUUCCUUCUUCACUACUGGGUGCCCUCCCCGAUUCUAGCCUCUAAACUGACGGUGAGUAAGCCUGUAAUCCCAGCAGCCUCAGUUUUCUCCUCAGUAGUCCUUGACUCCUUCUGAGAUGGGAUGGGAUUCCAGUCGGCUGAGCAUGGAGUUGUUCACGUGGUGCUUCCAACCCGACUCCUACAAGGCUUCCUUUGUUCUGCCGGGAAAGGCUUCACCACUCUCUCUUCUAAGACGUCUCCCCCUGCUGGCUGCAAGCAGACUGUCAGUGCCAGAUUCGAACGCCCUAGAAUUUCAAGUGGCAGUUUGCAAGCCCCCGAGCCUGUGUGUCAGAUGUCACUGUGUGUCAGAUGGACUCCAGCCGAUCUCAGGAGUGAGAUAUUGAGGAUAUAUUUUCUUUUCUCCUCCUCAAUUUUUCUUUCUCCCUUUUCUGAGGCAUGCUCUUUUAGCCCAGACCGGCCUCCUGCCUCCACUGUGAGUCCUAGGUUUACAUUCAUGUGCCGCCGUGUCCAGUUUUCUGGUGAGGAGGACUGACCCCAGGGCUUUGUGGGUGAUACCUAAGCACCCUGCCAACUGAGUUACAUCCCCACCCGGCUUUGGCGGAUUCAUUCUGUGGUUCCAAAUGCUCUUGAGAAGACUUUGAAGAUACGGCUUUAUUCUGUAUUUAAAUAAAAAAAAA